UUCAGUUGGGCACUCUAAGGUGACUGCCGGCUAAAAGUCGGAGGAAGGUCGGGGAGUGACGUCAAAUCAUCAUGCCCCUUAUGACCUGGGCUACACACGUGCUACAAUGGGCGGUACAAAGGGUCGCGAACCCGCGAGGGGGAGCCAAUCCCAAAAAAGCCGCUCUCAGUUCGGAUUGCAGGCUGCAACUCGCCUGCAUGAAGCCGGAAUCGCUAGUAAUCGCGGAUCAGCAUGCCGCGGUGAAUACGUUCCCGGGCCUU
rnacentral:rRNA from 1 species